AUGGGGAGUGCAGGAUCCUGGGCUGUGUCCCCCGGCGCCCUGGGAUCCAGGGCCUGUGCUGCUGGAGUCGCGCUCCCGAGUCUUGGCUCCGG
rnacentral:pre_miRNA from 1 species